rnacentral:rRNA from 1 species
ANAGUUUGAUGAUGGCUCAGAAUGAACGCUGGCGGUAUGCUUUACACAUGCAAGUCGUACGAGAGUUUUUAACUCAAGUGGCGGACGGGUGAGUAACACGUAAGAAUUUGCCUUUAGGAGGGGGACAACAACUGGAAACGGUUGCUAAUACCCCAUAUGCUUUCGAGUGAAAUGGAUUUUUCCGCCUAAAGAGAAGCUUGCGGCUGAUUAGCUUGUUGGUGAGGUAAUGGCUCACCAAGGCGACGAUCAGUAUCUGGUUUGAGAGGACGAUCAGACACACUGGAACUGAGACACGGUCCAGACUCCUACGGGAGGCAGCAGUGGGGAAUUUUCCGCAAUGGGCGAAAGCCUGACGGAGCAAUACCGCGUGAGGGAUGACGGCCUAUGGGUUGUAAGCCUCUUUUUUCAGGGAGGAAUCAAAUGACGUGUACCUGAAGAAUAAGCAUCGGCUAACUCCGUGCCAGCAGCCGCGGUAAGACGGAGGAUGCAAGUGUUAUCCGGAAUCACUGGGCGUAAAGCGUCUGUAGGUGGUCCAAUAAGUCAACUGUUAAAUCUUGAGGCUCAACCUCAAAAUCGCAGUCGAAACUAUUAGACUAGAGUAUAGUAGGGGUAAAGGGAAUUUCCAGUGGAGCGGUGAAAUGCGUAGAGAUUGGAAAGAACACCGAUGGCGAAGGCACUUUACUGGGCUAUUACUAACACUCAGAGACGAAAGCUAGGGUAGCAAAUGGGAUUAGAUACCCCAGUAGUCCUAGCCGUAAACAAUG